GAUGAACGCUGGCGGCGUGCUUAACACAUGCAAGUCGAACGGAAAGGCUCCUGCUUGCAGGGGUACUCGAGUGGCGAACGGGUGAGUAACACGUGGGUGAUCUGCCCUGCACUUCGGGAUAAGCCUGGGAAACUGGGUCUAAUACCGGAUAGGACGAUGGUUUGGAUGCCAUUGUGGAAAGUUUUUCGGUGUGGGAUGAGCUCGCGGCCUAUCAGCUUGUUGGUGGGGUAAUGGCCUACCAAGGCGUCGACGGGUAGCCGGCCUGAGAGGGUGUACGGCCACAUUGGGACUGAGAUACGGCCCAGACUCCUACGGGAGGCAGCAGUGGGGAAUAUUGCACAAUGGGCGCAAGCCUGAUGCAGCGACGCCGCGUGGGGGAUGACGGCCUUCGGGUUGUAAACUCCUUUCGUCAGGGACGAAGCGAAAGUGACGGUACCUCGAUAAGAAGCACCGGCUAACUACGUG
rnacentral:rRNA from 1 species